CAGAUACAGAGAGAAUUAGCAUGGCCCCUGCACGAGGAUGACACACAAAUUUGUGAAGUGUUUCAUAUUUUU
rnacentral:snRNA from 1 species